CGGAUAAGACCAGCUGGUAUUCACUGCCAGGGACAUUUAUUCAGUGUGCAUGUGCAGACCCAGAACACGGCAGGCGUACAUGAGGCCGAGGCAGGCAGAUUCCAAGAGGACAAAGAGGACCCAAGAAGGCCGACAAUUUGCUGACGAGUCGGGACAAUGCUGUUGGUGCCUGUUGUCUCCCCGAAGGGCACAACUCCGCCUCCCAGGAACGUCAGACGCCCUUACAACUGCCCGAAGGAUAAAGUCUCAGGAGCCCAGACUUUCACACGUAGCCACCCAGUGCUAAUUUCUCUUUCUAACAAAUGAAGGAGCAGGAGAGCAGAA